CGAAUACAGUAAAUGAAGUUGUUGAUGCUCAAAACGUCCCUAGGGGAGGACAUCCAGACCCCCCACUAUGAUAUCCC